UUGCCAUGGUGACCAUCAGGAGCCGGGAAUGGCAUGUGAUGAAAGGCAAAUAAAGGGGCGCGACAGUCAAGCAUCUGUACAGUGUGAUGUAGAGUUGUUGCAUUCUAAAUCACGCGUCUGACUUUCGAAUCGCAGCGCCGAAGGAGUUCAAGCCAGCCGCCGCGCCAGAGAAAGAAAGGCCGUAGAAGCGGCAGCGUGCACACCUGGCCGCUCAGAGGGACAACCACACCGGCAGACAGCGAUGACUAGCCGCGUUGUUUCUUAUUGGUAUUUUGCUUGCUUUUUUUUCUUGUUUGUUCUGCCAGGAUUAUUAAAGCUUCUUUCUAUAUGAAAAUACACCUCAA